UACGUAGGGUGCGAGCGUUACUCGGAAUUACUGGGCGUAAAGCGUGCGCAGGCGGCUUGUUGUGUCGGCGGUGAAAGCCCCGGGCUUAACCUGGGAAUGGCCGUUGAAACUGGCGAACUGGAGUGUGGCAGAGGGGGGUGGAAUUCCGCGUGUAGCAGUGAAAUGCGUAGAGAUGCGGAGGAACACCGAUGGCGAAGGCAGCCCCCUGGGCUGACACUGACGCUCAGGCACGAAAGCGUGGGGAGCAAACAGG
rnacentral:rRNA from 1 species